rnacentral:rRNA from 1 species
UACGUAGGGUGCGAGCGUUAAUCGGAAUUACUGGGCGUAAAGUGUGCGCAGGCGGCCGCGCAAGUCGAGUGUGAAAUCCCCGGGCUCAACCUGGGAAUGGCAAUGGAGACUGCAAGGCUAGAGUUUGGCAGAGGGGGGUAGAAUUCCACGUGUAGCAGUGAAAUGCGUAGAUAUUAGGAGGAACACCAAAGGCGAAGGCAGCUUACUGGGCAAUAACUGACGCUAAAGCACGAAAGCGUGGGGAGCAAACAGG